AACGAACGCUGGCGGCAGGCCUAAUACAUGCAAGUCGAACGCUCCAGCAAUGGAGAGUGGCAGACGGGUGAGUAACGCGUGGGAACCUUCCCAGUGGUACGGAAUAGCUCAGGGGAAACUUGAGGUAAUACCGUAUACGCCCCUCGGGGGAAAGAUUUAUCGCCAUUGGAUGGGCCCGCGUCGGAUUAGCUAGUUGGUGGGGUAACGGCCUACCAAGGCGACGAUCCGUAGCUGGUCUGAGAGGAUGAUCAGCCACACUGGGGACUGAGACACGGCCCAGACUCCUACGGGUGGCAG
rnacentral:rRNA from 1 species